rnacentral:rRNA from 1 species
GUCUUUUUGUUUAUAAUUUAAAGUCUAACCUGCCCAAUGAAUAUGAUUUAAUGGCCGCAGUAUUUUAACUGUGCGAAGGUAGCAUAAUAAUUAGUUUUUUAAUUGAGAACUAGAAUGAAUGGUUGGACGAGGAAAAAGCUGUCUCAGUUUAAGUUUAGUUAAAAUUUUAUUUUUAAGUUAAAAAGCUUAAAUAAAUUUAAAAGACGAGAAGACCCUAUAGAGUUUUAUAUUAUAAAUUUAUUUUAUAAAUAAAGAAUUUAAUUUAUUUAAUUUUUAUAUAAUAUUUGAUUGGGGUGAUUUAAAAAUUGAAUAAACUUAUUAUUGAUUAGACCAUUAAUUUAUGAUUAUUUGAUCCAUAUUUUAUGAUUAAAAGAUUAAAUUACCUUAGGGAUAACAGCGUAAUUUUUUUUUAAAGUUCUUAUUGAAAAAAAAGUUUGCGACCUCGAUGUUGGAUUAAAA